UACGUAGGGGGCGAGCGUUGUCCGGAUUUAUUGGGCGUAAAGAGCUCGUAGGCGGCUUGGCAAGUCGGGUGUGAAACCUCCAGGCUUAACCUGGAGACGCCACUCGAUACUGCCAUGGCUAGAGUCCGGUAGGGGACCACGGAAUUCCUGGUGUAGCGGUGAAAUGCGCAGAUAUCAGGAGGAACACCGGUGGCGAAGGCGGUGGUCUGGGCCGGCACUGACGCUGAGGAGCGAAAGCGUGGGUAGCAAACAGG
rnacentral:rRNA from 1 species